AAAGGAUCUCCUGUAUUCCAUACAUACUCUUCCUUACCUCCAUUGUUUAAUAGUAGUCUAAUUUCCCCUUGUGAGUCAAGACAAAUCACCACAACAAAUACCUUAGCUCCCUUCUUUUCCUGUUGAUUUAGAGUCAUGAGGAGUCAAGACUUCCAUCUGGCCACUUGAACUUAAGUUCCAGUUCAAGGAAUCAUUGUUUUGUUUCCUGGAGAAAGCAUUCCUCCAUCUGGCACUAAGAUCUCUAGGCCAGCAGAGCUUAAAGUGGAAACAGGAAUCAAAAAUUUGCUCACAAGUUGCAUGGGAUAUUAGUAAGUGGUGCCACUCAUAUUUCCACCCUUCAAUUCCUGGACCCAUGAAUCAUGGCAAUUGGAGAAAUAGUACCAUAUGCUGGACAUUGAUUCGGAGCAUAUACAGUCUUCUGGAGAACCUUGCCCCAGCCCUGAAAGGCCAGAUAGAAGAGUCGAAUGGGUAUGUGACAGGAAUCACCACCCCUUCAUCUUUCAAGUCCUUGAUGGUGACGCUAACUUUUGAAUCCCUUCCUCUACAUUAAACCAAUGGACAUUGGACAUUUACAAUUUGCUCAUGGUGGGCCAUAAUUUGGUCCAUGUUUCAACCAACCCAACAAACUGUUACAGCACUUUUAACUCUCUGAGCUACAGCAUUAAAUGAAGAAUCUUUGCUUAGAGAGCCCAUAUUAAUAAAUUUGGCCUGAUUCAAUUUUAUAUUCCUUCCACUAUUAUUCCACACCCUUACUAUCCAUUCCUACACAGGUUUCCCACUUCUGCUUGUAUAAAUUAGAAAACUCUGUUAGUUCUUUUGGAGUAUAGCUCACCUCUUCACGGGUCACACUUUGUAUCUUAUCUUUACUGAAACUUGAGUCUAGUUAUAGAUCUAGAAGCAAAAAACUGUGG
ensembl:lncRNA